rnacentral:lncRNA from 1 species
UCCUCGUUUCUCACAGCACCGGGUCCCCAUCAACCCCUCCAAGCUUUCAAAAUAUCCAACAAUUCAAUUCCAUUUAUCAUGAAACUACCCUAAACCAAGAAAAACAGAGUGGAGGCAGAAAACUCUGCACAAAACUCAUUCAUAUUCCAUAGUUUUUCCUACUCACAUACCUCAGUAACAUUCUCUUCGUUCCGACUUGCUAACCGUUGGAUCGCCUUGAAAUUUUUAAUGGAGGUUCCUAAUACAAAUAUCUAAAUUUUGACCGUUGGGAUCUGCUAUCAAAUAUCUAGAACAGGAUAGAUACUGCCUUUCCCGUGACCUGCACUGCAGCACCAUUUUUCUACAUAAUAGGCAAAGUUUACUCAGUAACAUUCUCUUCGUUCUGAUUCGUUAACCGUUGGAUCGCUUUGAAAAUUUUACUGGAGGUUCCUAGUACAUAAAUAUACAUUUUGACCGUUGGGAUCUGCUAGAAAAUACCCAGAACCAGAGAGGUACUACCCUUCCUGUGACUAGCAAUGCAUAAGCAUUUUCUGCACAUGUUAAAAAAACUGCUGCACAAUUCAACAACAUUUUUCUGCAUAACAUGGCAGAUUUCGAAAUCCAACUUGCCCACAUCCAAUUUUGCUCAAAUUGGAUCCUACAAGUCCUAAAUCAUGUAUAAAUCAUAUUUAAACCAAAAGCAAGCUUCAGAUCAAGGUAAAUCAAAAUCUAGGCAUCCAAAACCCAUCAAUUUAGUGAAUUUUCAAGGUUCGAGAAGUGAAAAUGAGAAUUGGGUAAUUUUGGGGUAAACUCUCAUCUCAAUCAAGUCUAUAACAUUGAUUUAGACUUGCUCAAACUUGUUUUAAGGUGAAAACUCCACCGAUUCAAAAUUUGACCUCUCAACACCCAAUUCACCCAAGAAAUGACUCUUUUCUUUCACAUUUGUCACUCAUUUUUUUCUUAUUUGCUCUGCCCAAGCUUUUCUAUAAGUCCUAAUUGAUAUUCUAAACUAGGAUCAACUCACUUUAGACUCCAAUUUCCACUAACCCCAAAUUUGGCUUUUCAAACCCUCAAAAUCUCACACUUUUCCACUCACAUCACUACCAUUUUCACAUUUAACCCUAAGUUAACUCUCACCAUCAUCUCUACCAGUUUUCUACCAACAAUUUCAGCAUACAAAUAUCACAAAGCAUCAUCAUAAAACCCUAAAACAGAAUAAGCAGCUUUACUCACAUCAAACAUGUCAAGUUUAGCAUGCUUUCAACAAAUUCCUUCACAAAUAACUACCAUAAGACAUUAACCUAGUAGAACUACCCAUCAUAGCUCCCAAAAACCCAAUACCCAUGAAUUUCAUGUGAGAAGAAGUCCACCCAUACCUGAAAUUCGAAGUCCCACAAUGUAGAGGAGUGCUCCAAGACUCCGAAAAUGGCUUCCCUUUGCAAUUUGGAGUAGAAAUGGAGAGGGAUUUUGGAGCUUUAAUGGACAACAAUGGUGGGGAAGGAGGAAGAAGAAAAGCAACGUGGAAGAGGGAGGAAAAGCUUCUGAAUUUUGCUGAAGGAAGAGAGAGAAUAGUUGGGCUUUUAUUAAAAAUGAUUUUCUUUUCUCUUUUUUUUUAAAGCAAUGCCACAUGUCUCAUUUUAAGUGGAGCAAAAAGGGCCCACUUUUUUCUCUUGAUGUGACUUCAUACUCAGCCACAAGGAGGAAAAAUUUGACCUUUUGAAUGCUGAAAUCCUGCCUCGGUUUGUGUGCCACCUCUCUGGUUCCAGUUCCCCGCAUUUCUCUGUAUUCGUCGGUGCCCGUUUUCGAAAGUAGUCAAUAUAUAUAUCAGAACACUCAGAAUGAGAUCCUGAG